ACCCCCUGGCAAUGAGCAAAGGGACACCUGGGUGGUGGUGGUCUUAUAUCAAUCAGGGACAGAGCAGUUGCCAGUCCUUUGUUUAUCUUAGCUUGCUGCCUGGCUUAGUGGUCAAGCUGUUUUAUGCCUAGGACUCAUAA